rnacentral:lncRNA from 1 species
CCCUAUCAAAAAUCAUCCAAAUUAAACAAAUCCAUCAUCACCUAACAACAAUUCGCCUUCUUAUCAAUACGCCCUAAUCCUUUUAUCUCAAAUUAACGGAGAAAUCCCUUUCUCCACAUUAGAAGGACCAAUUGUAAACCAUAAUUUCUACUCUACAGUCAACCCAAGCAAUGCAUUAAAGAAAUCAGAUUUCGAAACAACAAAUCCAGCUGGUAUUGCCAACAAGUUUCAAUUUUUUCAAGGGAAUAAGACAAUUUC